rnacentral:rRNA from 1 species
AUUGAACGCUGGCGGCAGGCCUAACACAUGCAAGUCGAACGAGUGGCGGACGGGUGAGUAACGUCUGGGUAACUGCCUGACGGCGGGGGAUAACUACUGGACACGGUCGCUAAUACUGCAUACCCUCAUCUGUGCCCAGCUGGGAUUAGCUUGUUGGUGGGGUAACGGCUCACCAAGACGCCGAUCCCUAGCUGGUCUGAGAGGAUGACCAGUCACAAUGGAACUGAGACACGGUCCAGACUCGUACGGUAGGCGAGGGUGGGGCGUAGUGCACAGGGGGAUGAAGCCAGAUGCGGCCCUGCCGAGUGUAUGAAAAAGGCCUUCGGGUUGUGAAGUACUUUCGGCGGGAAGGCGUUACCGGAAGAAGAAGCACCGGCUAACUCCGUGCCAGCAGCCGCGGUAAUAC